rnacentral:rRNA from 1 species
UACGGAGGAUGCGAGCGUUAUCCGGAUUUAUUGGGUUUAAAGGGUGCGUAGGCGGAUAUUUAAGUCAGUGGUAAAAUGGAGAGGCUCAACCUCUUUCCGCCAUUGAAACUGGGUGUCUUGAGUACAGUAGAGGCAGGCGGAAUUCGUGGUGUAGCGGUGAAAUGCUUAGAUAUCACGAAGAACUCCGAUUGCGAAGGCAGCUUACCAAACUAUAUCUGACGUUGAGGCACGAAAGCGUGGGGAGCAAA